rnacentral:rRNA from 1 species
GACGAAGGUGGCGAGCGUUGUUCGGAUUCGUUGGGCGUAAAGGGUGCGUAGGCGGCGGGGUAAGUCUGAUGUGAAAGGCCGGGGCUCAACCUCGGGACUGCAUUGGAUACUGCCUUGCUCGAGAACUGGAGAGGAGACUGGAAUUUACGGUGUAGCAGUGAAAUGCGUAGAGAUCGUAAGGAAGACCAGUGGCGAAGGCGAGUCUCUGGACAGAUUCUGACGCUGAGGCACGAAGGCCAGGGGAGCAAACGGG